AACAAAAUCUGGGUUUACAGUGUAGUGACGAAACUCCCUCUGUAGUUGUUUGUCCGUUUGGGUUACUGUAGACACAUGGCAGCGCAACAUGGCGUAUGUAGAUAGAUAUGUCUCAUUCUAAGAUGUGCAGCUGAUGUUUGGGGUGAUGGAGGUUACCCCAGCAGUGGAGCUGUUCAUUAGGAGACCAUUCAUGCAGAGGAAGAGGAGAUGAGAGAGGAUGAAGCAGUUAAUGAAGACAACACAUGAAGAGCAGUUAUGAGUAAAGAUGAAGAAAACUCCGAGUCCGAGUCUCCGGGAGGAUGAACACUUGGAUCAGAAACAUCUGGAUAACAUCAGAAGCCAUGAACUGACAAACAGUCCUGCCAUGUCUCCAGUUUGCUCUGCAGUUGAUGAAGAUCAGGUGUAAUGUUUAGCCGCCUACACCAGCCGGUACUUUGUGUAGUAAAAUUUAGACACAAUUAUAAAUAAAUACCCCAUAUAGAGUUGA